GCUUAACACAUGCAAGUCGAGGGGCAGCAUGGUCUUAGCUUGCUAAGGCCGAUGGCGACCGGCGCACGGGUGAGUAACACGUAUCCAACCUGCCGUCUACUCUUGGACAGCCUUCUGAAAGGAAGAUUAAUACAAGAUGGCAUCAUGAGUCCGCAUGUUCACAUGAUUAAAGGUAUUCCGGUAGACGAUGGGGAUGCGUUCCAUUAGAUAGUAGGCGGGGUAACGGCCCACCUAGUCUUCGAUGGAUAGGGGUUCUGAGAGGAAGGUCCCCCACAUUGGAACUGAGACACGGUCCAAACUCCUACGGGAGGCAGCAGUGAGGAAUAUUGGUCAAUGGGCGAGAGCCUGAACCAGCCAAGUAGCGUGAAGGAUGACUGCCCUAUGGGUUGUAAACUUCUUUUAUAAAGGAAUAAAGUCGGGUAUGGAUACCCGUUUGCAUGUACUUUAUGAAUAAGGAUCGGCUAACUCCGUGCCAGCAGCCGCGGUAAUACGGAGGAUCCGAGCGUUAUCCGGAUUUAUUGGGUUUAAAGGGAGCGUAGAUGGAUGUUUAAGUCAGUUGUGAAAGUUUGCGGCUCAACCGUAAAAUUGCAGUUGAUACUGGAUAUCUUGAGUGCAGUUGAGGCAGGCGGAAUUCGUGGUGUAGCGGUGAAAUGCUUAGAUAUCACGAAGAACUCCGAUUGCGAAGGCAGCCUGCUAAGCUGCAACUGACAUUGAGGCUCGAAAGUGUGGGUAUCAAACAGGAUUAGAUACCCUGGUAGUCCACACGGUAAACGAUGAAUACUCGCUGUUUGCGAUAUACUGCAAGCGGCCAAGCGAAAGCGUUAAGUAUUCCACCUGGGGAGUACGCCGGCAACGGUGAAACUCAAAGGAAUUGACGGGGGCCCGCACAAGCGGAGGAACAUGUGGUUUAAUUCGAUGAUACGCGAGGAACCUUACCCGGGCUUAAAUUGCAGAUGAAUUACGGUGAAAGCCGUAAGCCGCAAGGCAUCUGUGAAGGUGCUGCAUGGUUGUCGUCAGCUCGUGCCGUGAGGUGUCGGCUUAAGUGCCAUAACGAGCGCAACCCUUGUUGUCAGUUACUAACAGGUUCCGCUGAGGACUCUGACAAGACUGCCAUCGUAAGAUGUGAGGAAGGUGGGGAUGACGUCAAAUCAGCACGGCCCUUACGUCCGGGGCUACACACGUGUUACAAUGGGGGGUACAGAGGGCCGCUACCACGCGAGUGGAUGCCAAUCCCCAAAACCUCUCUCAGUUCGGACUGGAGUCUGCAACCCGACUCCACGAAGCUGGAUUCGCUAGUAAUCGCGCAUCAGCCACGGCGCGGUGAAUACGUUCCCGGGCCUUGUACACACCGCCCGUCAAGCCAUGGGAGCCGGGGGUACCUGAAGUGCGUAACCGCGAGGAGCGCCCUAGGGUAAAACUGGUGACUGGGGCUAAGUCGU
rnacentral:rRNA from 1 species